AGGAACGUGAUGCAGUUGGCCGCAUGCCAUAUACCUGCCGCUGACGGGAGGAGCCGAGUCGCGCUAUCGCCGCCCCGGAUGAUUAACCGGAAGAAGAGUCAGGCUAUAAAAGCGAGACACUGACACCGCAUCGGGCGCGGCGUUUUGUUUCUGCUUGUGUGUGCAAUCGCGUGGUUUGUUUGUCUAUCUAAAUACUUGGUGUAUUGAGGUGUAUGUACAGCUGUGUGUGUUUGUGUAGUGUUGUGCUGACGGGGCUCGGACAGGUAAGAAAGAGCGCGCUCAUACACUGUGCAACACGUAGGACGUCACACUGUCUAGACACUUUAGGAAAGGGGCGGGUGCCACCCCCUGUAUUUAAGUUUGUAAGGGAAGCGCAGUAUAGGCAGGUUUUUGGUUUCACUUUUGUUUGUAGUCCAGGAUGUAUUAAAAAUAAAGCAGCAUUAGGGAAGUAUCAUUUUUUCUUUUACUUGGUUUUCUUUUCUUCAGCACCGCCGUUGUCCAGCCCCGUGUUUGGCUUGUUUGUGAAAUUUGUAAAUAUUGUAAAUACGUGUUUUCUGUUGUACAGCACAGUAAACUGAUUAAGCACUACAGGUUGUGUCGCGAAACCUUGUUUUUUUUUUUUUUCAUUCAGCCAGUCUACACUGUGUCAUUGUUUAGACCCGGUUGGACUCUUUCACCCACUAUCAGCUUGAUAAACCACCGGUUGCUGACCCUGAGUCUCCCCUAGGCCUACUUCGGGGUCGUAACAGCAGGUCUGACACUGUGGUCAGCAGUACGGGAGCACCAUAAGGGACCGUGCUCUCUCCGGUCCUGUUCACCCUGUACACAUCGGACUUUCAGUAUAACUCAGAGUUCUGCCACGUGCAAAAGUUUGCGGAAGAUGGCAAGAUCUAUCUAUAAGAUCUCCCUCAUUAAACAAUUAACAAAGCCAUGUGAAAUGGUAUUUCCCUCACUGUGAUUUAAUUUUAAUUUGAUUCAGUCGAACAUCAAUCAAUCCUCUUAUCAGGUAGGCAUGACAGAAGACAGCUUUUUAAAGUAACUUUUGAUCAGGCGAAAUUCACAGCUACCUAAAUCCCCCUUUCAAUCUGGAUUAAACUCUGGAUUAUUUUCACACCGGUUUUCUUAUUAAAUUCUUAUCUCCUUUGUUUUCCUGUGGGGAAACACGGUGAUUAUUCAGCAUUAGAAACGCGCACAGUUCGGACAGUCUUCCAUCAGCUGGUAUAGUGUGAGGUCAGACCUGUGUCUGUCUGGACUGAGUGAAGACUAUUAGAGAGUCUCAGGGUUUUUAAAACACACUGCUGCAUUCUGAUUGGUGGUCACAUGUUGAUUAUUUCUGUAUAACAGCAGCUCUGUCCAUAUUGCAGGUUUAUAUUAAUGAGUUCAUCCUGAUACGGUUAAAAAAACUAUUUUUCAAGACGAUUUUAUGUUCCAGCUUUGAUUGGUGAUCAGAUCAGCCAAUCACGUCCUCUCUCCCACUUCACUGUUUGCAUCUCUGUUCAAAUUCUGCACUACAGUAAGAACCGAAUCAUCAAGCCCUCUUACCCCAGGCCUUUAUUCCUGCUGUGCUUUUUUACAUCCAUACAUCUUUUUUACGUUACGUCAUCCAUCAAUUCAGAUUCUGGAGCUGAACGAAGCGACAGUGCGUAUGAGAGACCGAGGACAAGUGGAAACCAUCAUCAGAAACAUGCAGAGAGAAGGAGCUUCUGCACUGCAGGUGAUCUCUGACUUCCACAUGACACUCACCAGAUUUGCUCAUGAAGGGAAACGCUGCCCUACAACACACAGUGAGUAAACAGAAUAAAUGUUGUUGUUGUUGUGAACGAUGUAAACGAUGUGAACGGUUUCUUCUUAACUCUUACAUGAAUCCCCUCGGAGCUGCAGCGGUCACUCAGCAUUAACACACGGCUCUUUACAGAAGUGUUUCCUGAUUGGUUAAAUGAUGUGAAGUAAUUAAAUCAGUCUAACGGUUUAUUAUUUUUAUUUUUCCUCUUCAGGUAUUCUUCACAACACCAAUCUGAUUAGUGAGGAGUGUAAAGCGAAGAUGUCUAAUUUGGUGACUGUUCUUCGCUAGUGGAGUUUGUGACUGUUUACCCCGGGAAUUCACCACCGCCUUCAUUAUCGGAGUGUACAUUCCCCCCAGCGCUAAUGCUAAGGAGGCUCUGUGUGAACUCUACAGAGCUAUUAGCGAGCUGCAGAAUGCUCACCCCGACGGACUAUUUAUCAUCACUGGAGAUUUCAGUCAUGCAAAGUGCAAAGUGCUCCCUAAAUUCAACCAGCAUGUGGACUUUGCUUGGAGAGGGGUGAACACUGAGGGCUGAGCUCGGCUGCUCAGACCACAUCUCUGUUAUGUUGAUUCCAGCAUACAGACCACUCGUCAGACACUCUAAACUAGUUCUGAAACAGGUUAAAACCUGGCCAGCAGGAACCAUCUCUGCUCUUCAGGACUGUUUCAAGUGCACUGACUGGGACAUGUUUAGGGAGGCUGCAACAAACGGCGACUAUUGACUUGGAGGAGUACACGGCAUCACUGACCAGCUACAUCGGGAAGUGCAUCGAUGACGUGACCGUCUCCAAGACCAUCACAACACGCUCCAUGGAUGACUGCAAAAGUGUGUGCUCUCCUGAAUUCGAGAGACUCCGCCUUCAGAGAAGGGGACAGGGUGGCCUUAAAAAUCAGCAAGGGCCAAACUGUCCCGAGCCAUCAGAGAGGCAAAGCACGCACACGCCCAGAGAAUCCAUGGCCACUUCCAGGACAGCGGAGACUCCCAGCACAUGUGGCAGGGCAUACAGGCGAUCACCAACUACAGGACAACAUCACCUCCCCUCUAUCACGGACAUUUACACUACACGCUGCAUCCGCAAAGCCAACAGCAUUGUGGACGACCUCAUACACCCCUCACACACAUUCUUCACCCUCCUGCCAUCUGGAAAGAGGUACCGGAGCAUUCGCGCCCUCACAACCAGACUGUGUAACAGUUUCUUUCUUCAAGCUAUCAGACUCCUCAACACCCAGAACUGAACUGUACAAAACUCUGUCUCUCUCUCUCACACACACACACACACACACUCUCUCACCUACACUAUAUUGCCAAAAGUAUUUGCUCACCUGCCUUGACUCGCAUAUGAACUUAAGUGACAUCUCAUUCCUAAUCCAUAGGGUUCAAUAUGACGUCGGUCCACCCUUUGCAGCUAUAACAGAAGUAUUUGCUCACCUGCCUUGACUCGCAUAUGAACUUAAGUGACAUCUCAUUCCUAAUCCAUAGGGUUCAAUAUGACGUCGGUCCACCCUUUGCAGCUAUAACAGCUUCAACUCUUCUGGGAAGGCUGUCCACAAGGUUUAGGAGUGUGUUCAUGGGAAUUUUUGACCAUUCUUCCAGAAGCGCAUUUGUGAGGUCACACACUGAUGUUGGACGAGAAGGCCUGGCUCUCAGUCUGCACUCUAAUUCAUCCCAAAGGUGUUCUAUCGGGUUGAGGUCAGGACUCUGUGCAGGCCAGUCAAGUUCAUCCACACCAGACUCUGUCAUCCAUGUCUUUAUGGACCUUGCUUUGUGCACUGGUGCACAGUCAUGUUGGAAGAGGAAGGGGCCAGCUCCAAACUGAAGCAUUCAGAGUUCCUUUCACUGGAACUAAGGGGCCAAGCCCAGCUCCUGAAAAACAACCCCACACUAUAAUCCCCCCUCCACCAAACUUUACACUUGGCACAAUGCAGUCAGACAAGUACCGUUGUCCUGGCAACCGCCAAACCCAGACUCGUCCAUCAGAUUGCCAGAUGGAGAAGCGCGAUUCGUCACUCCAGAGAACGCGUCUCCACUGCUCUAGAGUCCAGUGGCGGCGUGCUUUACACCACUGCAUCCGACGCUUUGCAUUGCACUUGGUGAUGUAUGGCUUGGAUGCAGCUGCUCGGCCAUGGAAACCCAUUCCAUGAAGCUCUCUGCGCACUGUUCUUGAGCUAAUCUGAAGACCACAUGAAGUUUGGAGGUCUGUAGCGAUUGACUCUGCAAAAAGUUGGCGACCUCUUCGCACUAUGCGCCUCAGCAUCCGCUGACCCCGCUCCGUCAGUUUACGUGGCCUACCACUUCGUGGCUGAGUUGCUGUCGUUCCCAAACACUUCCACGUUCUUAUAAUACAGCUGACAGUUGACUGUGGAAUAUUUAGGAGCGAGGAAAUUUCACGACUGGAUUUGUUGCACAGGUGGCAUCCUAUCACAGUUCCACGCUGGAAUUCACUGAGCUCCUGAGAGCGACCCAUUCUUUCACAAAUGUUUGUAAAAACAGUCUGCAUGCCUAGGUUCUUGAUUUUAUACACCUGUGGCCAUGGAAGUGAUUGGAACACCUGAUUCUGAUUAUUUGGAUGGGUGAGCGAAUACUUUUGGCAAUAU